rnacentral:rRNA from 1 species
UGUCCGGAUUUAUUGGGCGUCAAGAGCGUGUAGGCGGUUUGGUAGGUCCGGUGUGAAAACCCGAGGCUCAACCUCGGGCCUGCAGUGGGUACGGGCAGACUAGAGUGCGGUAGGGGAGAUUGGAAUUCCUGGUGUAGCGGUGGAAUGCGCAGAUAUCAGGAGGAACACCAAUGGCGAAGGCAGAUCUCUGGGCCGUAACUGACGCUGAGGAGCGAAAGCAUGGGGAGCGAACAGG